rnacentral:pre_miRNA from 1 species
GUCGCAAUUACUGGCUUGUAUGCUAAGAACAUGUUUUGUAAGAAACUGCCAAAGUGCCUUGUGAAGUGUCUGUAUCAUUUUGACUUCCCACCAGCAAU